UAUCCUCCUGGAUAUAAGAUUAAGCAGAAAUCUGCAUUAGCAGCCAAUCAAAUGGUAACAAUCAAUCAAAUUAUGUUGUUGCUAAUCAAGUUUCUAUAUCUAUUUUAGAUCAAACACAGGGAAAUGUUGGAGAAUUCAUGCAGACCUUGAAUCCUACACAAUAUCAGCAUUUGAUGAAAGUGUUGAGUAGUCAUUUGGCAUCUAAAAAGAUGAUGCAGCAGCUGAUAUACAAUAUAAUCAAGUGUCAGGACCUGCACAGCUUGAAGAUGAUUGACAAGGAUAGAAAAGUUGCUGGUCUAUACAUAAUGAGUGAUAACUCAUCUGGCUUAGCACAAAGUAUUCCCUUGAAAAUGUAUGUGUAUCUAUUUCUAAUGUUGUAAAUAUGUGCACUUGGCAUCAUAGACUAGGCCACUUGUUCUUUCAAAAGUUAAACAUGAUAAAAGAUCAAUUAUAUUUAGUUUGUAAUAAGCAUAGGAAUCAUGAUUAUGUUCCUUGUGAUAUAUGCCCUUUAGCCAAACAAAGGAGACUUUCCUUUACAUUCAACAAUCAUAUGUCAACUGAUGCAUUUGACGUGAUUCUUUGUGAUACUUGGGGACCUUACCAUGUCCCAACAUACUCUAGCUACAGAUAUUUUCUUACACUCGUGGAUGACUGUACAUGUUUUACAUGAUUGUAGCUCAUGAAACAUAAAUCAAAUGUUCACUCAA